UGGUUUUAGGAGUAACCCCAGAGUGCAGUCUGGACGAUGGGGCGGGGCGACACUUCGAGGCGGAGCGACACGUGUCGCCCCGCCCAUAUUUGUUUUCCCCGCCUUUGACAUUUUCCUCCGAGCCAGCAGGGGGCAGUUUGCGUUGAAACAAACAGAACGGUGGCAACUACAGCAGCAGAGUAAUAACGCUAUUCCGUUGAUUGCUUGAGGAUGACAUGAUCAGGAGGUGGUGGUGUUCUGUUCUCCUGGACAGCUUUACUCCGCAAAUAGCUCAACCACUGAGGAGAACUUCACCAUUCACCAUGUCUUCAGGCAGAGUCCAGCAAAGCAGCUUCCACUGGAAAUCCUCAGGGAAGUUAUUUUGUCGGCGGGUGACUCUGCAUAUUUGACACUUUCUCUGGUUUGCAGAUGGUUUAGGGAUGUGCUCCGAAGUUUUUCGGAAAGCGGCACAGUUUGCCUGGCUAGAGAUUGUGGCCAACUGGAAGAAUUGUCCUCCUGUCUCCUGACCGGAACGAGUUCAGACGGAUGUACAGCAUCAGGGAACACUUGCAGUGCAGAGCCCUUUUCAAGUUUAACCCAGGGUACAGGGAAGAGACCGGCGUGGUGAUCUUCUGGGCUUUUGUUUACACAGGAUUUUGUUCCAAGGACUGUUUUUUUUUUUUUUUUUUUUUUUUUUUUUUUGCGGCAUGAAACACAUUUGUGUGUUAAGUUCAUUGAAGGGAAAUAGAGAAUGGGCUGAGAUCAACUGGUUUUGAUUAUUAAUUGAUGUAAUUUAAAGUUAAACUUUGCACUGUAUAAUGUUUUAAUAAAAAAGCUAUGGAAAACA